ACAUCUUAUCUUCAUUCCACAAAGAUAGUUGACAUGGACUAAAUAGUUUAAUUGGCUUCUAUAGAGCUACUACAUUUAAAUAGUUGUAAUAAAAAAAAAAAAAGAAAAAUUAGCUUUUGAAGCCAGGUUAAGUCCAAAGUGUUACAACUCAGCCUCAAAAGGGAGAAAAUGUAAACAACAACAAAGAAGAUAUCAGGACUAACAAAGGCCCCA
rnacentral:lncRNA from 1 species